CUCCAACUCCCCUUUCAGUGCCUCUUAAGGCACUAGAAGGGCCUCUAAGAUUUCCCUGGAGCCUACUCUUCUCCAGGCUGAACAAAGCCAGCUGUCCCAGCCUGUCUCCAGAGCAGAGGUGCUCC